rnacentral:lncRNA from 1 species
CGUAGACAGACGUCGAACUUUAAACUGAUCAAGAGGUCAUGACCUCGCCAGUGACGUGCGGCUGGAGGUUACGCGCGCGUUCAGCAGAGCGUGAGCGCGACGUGGAGGUAGGUGCUCGAUACCCGUAUGCUGGCCUUAUAACCGCCGUGUGCGAUGUUGAAAGGCGGUAUUGACGCCAGGUGGCACUCGCCUCUCCCUGUGGCCGUUACGUCACUGGCGCUCGACCGACAGGUGCAGCCAGGUGUUCUCCUGUCGCCUCAACUGUUACCCCGUCACGCUACUGUUACCCUGUCACCUCAACUGUUACGUCACCCCACUGUUACCCCGUCACCUGGUCCAGAGGACAGCACGCGAGUGUGACAGACAGCACGAUGCCAAGAUUUAUGUGACAAGUUGUAUCCGCGCGCUCAGCCGUGACCGCCGCAGCAGACGCAGCACGUGCAGUGGUUGACGCGCACGUGUCGAUUAGUGCCGCCUGCUUGCAGUGGACCGCGUGUCGUCAGCAUGUCAGGACCUCUGACCUUGCCCCUAGAGGAGCGCCGAGUGUGUGGACUGAUGAUCCCCGGAUGUGGAUUGUAAUGGCCGCCAGCUGAGCGUCCAGCUGUGUAUCGAGGUCUGUGACACACCGUCACGAUCUUAGUUCACAUCGUCACAAUAUAGUGUUCACAGCAUCGUAAUAGGAUCGCCAUUUAAUUCCAUAUUUGUGGACGUAACAAACAAGUCACAUCUCGCAAAGUCCAAUCUCACGCAAGCUGACGUAACUGAUGCUGAGCUCGUCACGUGACUUGUGCGGCCAUAGACUCCACCCUACACAGCACCGACAUGUGUGAUCGGCUUGGGACACCUGUGCACGUGGAAUACCCUUCACCUUCAUGCGAACGCACUCUGCUGACAUCAUAGACAGCCAUAGAGCUACUUCCGCUUCCGGCGCCGUCAGAGGCCGCGGCGAUUACGUGACGGUGUCGUCAUGGCAACAACGGAGGAUGACGGGAUCGAGAUCCUGUCGUGCCACAUCGAGCAUGAUGACGACACCACGGAGCACUCGGCCAGCGUCAGCCUCAAGAUCGCCAAUGGCGGUCUCCUGACGACCCCGUCACUAGGCAACGCAAGCGCGUGGCGCGGGCCGUGGGCAUCGUCACCUUCAUCUUGCUGCUCUUCAGCAUUGUCCUCAUCGGCCGUCUCCCUCAACAUGUCCAAGAACAUCGACGAAAUGGUUCGAAAGGCCAGUGAGAAGAUGAGACACGACCUUGCCAGUCGGCGAGAUCGUCUCAACAAAAACCUGACGCAGUUCACACACCAGACCCCCUUGUGAAGUCACCUUGUGAAGUCACCUGCUGACACCAGGAUCACGUGACACGUGAGACGUCACCGUUGUUUCACCGUUAGCACGUCACACAGCUGGCCAGUCCCCACACACUACACACCAGACCCACCCUCUAGUCACACCAUUAGUGUGUGUUACAUUCCUGUUUGUGUUACUGUCACACGCGGGUACUCUCCUCGUCAAGCGCCAUCUACCGGCCUCCCUCCACCUUCAGCAGAACUGUGUGUUCACUCGUAAAGACAGAAGUCAAUGUCUGCUGAUUUGAAAUAAUCGAAAGCAAUCGAGGAGUAAGUUGCAAACGAGCGGGUGUAUUUUAAUUAGCACUUUGUGGACUUUUUGAGACUAAAAACUCUGGCACUCGUGACCUGCUCAUUCUCUCGCUCGCCAUGCCUUCACCCAUCUCUCCUCCCUCUGUCCCUCAACCUCUCCAUGAAGAGUUUCCUCCUCUCCCUUUACCAUCCUCGUGCCAGACUUCACCUGAUCCCUGUCACCUGGCAGCAAAACACAUCGUGAUGUCAUUGUGAGGUCGCGAGGUCAUCUGGAAGCAGCAGUUUGUAGAGAAAAGCGUUUCAAGUGAAACUCGCCAUCAACCUGUUGAUGACAUGACAGUCUUUGUGUGUCUAGCAGUUGGAUCACCUGACCAGGUGUGACGGCACGCGCUUGACGUCAUCACUGGCACUGGAAGGAGAGUCGACUGAAGUCGUCGGUGAGUGCCAGGUAGGAGGUCGCAGAUGCACGCUGAUGCAGGAGCCGGGAAAUUCGUGUUCCUCCGAUUAGAAGGUGGCUGAUAAAGACACAGGUAUAGGUAGGGGACUGGUCAAGGUGAGUCAGUUUUACCUGGCAGAGGUUCAAAAGAGUACCGCGGGCUUGUGCCCACCUUUGGUGAGUGUGAGUCGUGUAAGUAGAAAGCGCUGGCGUGCGCGCUGCAUGAUGGGAUAUUUCUGUGCAGCACCUGCGCGAUCACAUUUCAUGCACACGGCGCGAGUGGCAGACAUUAUGAGAUAUUCAUGUGCAGCAAGUAUAUACAAGGCGGCAAAUACUUAGCCUGCACGUGUGUCCCUCCUUUCCUAACGGCCCUCCGUACUUCCAGAGAUCGUGAAGUCUAGUCAGUCUAGUCAGUCUAGUCCCUCUAGUGAGUCAUUCGUGUUAUACUGGCUUUGUGUAUGUCACUCGAGUACUUCUGUGGAGUGGUUCACUGGACGAACAUACGGGGCCAUAUCCGUACAUUGCACGCCCUCUGUGAACACACCCUGUCACGCUUGAAGUUUACUGUUGAACUUGUGAACCUACGACACCCACGCACCCCUAAUACCCGCUUGCUAUCUGAGUAUCUCCACACUCUGUCCUAGGAUUCGGGUAGCCACGCUCUUUUCUGAAUGAUUUGUCAAGUGCAGCCAAAUACUUUCGCCUUUAAAUCCCCUCGACUGCAAAACUGGCGGCUUGGCUCGGGUGGAUCAGUGGUCAGAGUUCGUCGUUAGCACUCGUGAAGUGAUCACGUGUCUCAUUAGUGCUCGGGUACUUUGCUGCUCUUUCCAGAGUUCAUUCUCGACUCACGGACAGUCGGUCUCAGCACAG